UAUCGAGGGACCCAGGGUACACAGAGCAUUCAGUCUUUCUGAGCUUCUUCCAGGGGUGGAGCUACAAGCUAUUUGCUUGGAGCUGCCAUGGUUAGGCACUUCUGCAGUGGAAGCAUCCGUUCUUUCCACCUGGAGGCCCUCAGUAGUUGCCUCAGCUGAGACAGCAGGGAGGUUGAUUUUCUUUCCGAUUGACUGGUUUGAUCUCCUUGUUGUAUAAGGCACUCUCAAGAAUCUUCUCAAGCACCACAGUUCAAAAGCUCAAUUUUUUCCCAUUCACUCUUUCUUAUGGUCCAGAUCGCACAUCUGUACAUGAUUACUGGCAAAAUCAUAGCUGUGUCACUGCAGUCCUCUGUAGCAAAGUGAGGCUCUGCUUUUUAAUACACUGUGCAGGUUUUUCAUAGCCUUUCUUCCUUCCAAGGAGCAAGUGUCUUUUAAUUUUGUGGCUGCAGUGAAGGUAUGUAGUGCUUUUGGAGCCCAAGGAAAUAAAAUCUGCCACUGUAUGUACUUUUCCCUCAUCUAUAUGCCAUGAAGUGGAGUGAUAUGAGGCCAUGAAUGUUGAGUAUAUUUUUGUAAGUAGUUUUUAAAAUUUUGAGUUUAAAACCAAUUUUUGCAUCUCCUCUCCUCAUCAAGCGGCUUUUUAGUUCUUUUUUGCUUUCUGCUAUUAGGUCAGUGUCAUCUUCAUCUCUGUGGAUGUUGAUAUUUCUCCCAGCAAUCUGUAUCCAGCUUGGGAAUUAUGCAAUCCAGCAUAUCGAAUGAUGUAUCCUAUAUACAAGUUAAAAAACCAGAGUGAGAAUGUAUAUCUUGUCACACUUCUUUCCCACUUUUAAAUCUUUCAGUUGUUCCGUGUCUGAUUCUAACUGCCGCUCUUUGACCUACAUUCAGACUUCUCAGGAGACAGCCUGGGCCAUGUCCUCUCUUAUAACCUCAUCCAUAUCCAUAUCUGCAGGCUAAAAAAGACUGAGAGCUGUGUGAAGGGAACCAAAGAAGAAUUAAUUAAAGGGACAUGAAUGAAGGGUGGUGGCUCUUGUUACUCAUCGUGAACGUUCUUCAGUAGGAUCACAUUCCCCUGCCCUUUUGUGUGCCCACCACCUCCAGGUUUGCCAUGACCAUGGAAGAUACUUGGGCCAGUGGAAUUUGAGUAGAGGUGAUAUCUCACUUCCAAAUGGAAGUAUUAUUUUCUGUCCCACUAGCUGGAAUGCAGAUAUAAUGACAGGAGCUAGAGCAGCCAUGUUAGGCCAGAGGUAAGCAGCACUGGGGGAAGAUGUGACAAGAAAAAAAUGGGCCCUCAUCUCUGUGGAGAGACCUGCACUAACAUUAUAUGAAAG
ensembl:lncRNA